GAAAAGCCAUCACCCAGCAGCUCAAAUACAACCUCCACCAUGUUUAGCAGAUCUCUAAUACUGCUGAUACUCACUAACCUACCAUGUUUUCAGAGUCAGACUCUCACUCAGUCUGAAUCUGUGGUUAUAAAACCUGGAGAAUCUCAUAAACUGACCUGUACAGGAUCUGGAUUCACAUUCAGCAGCUAUGCUAUGGCCUGGGUCAGACAGGCUCCUGGGAAAGGACUGGAGUGGAUUGCAUAUAUCAGCACAGGCAGCUCUCCUAUAUACUAUUCUCAGUCAGUUCAGGGAAGAUUCACAAUCUCCAGAUCUGACUCCAGCAGUCAGCUGUAUUUACAGAUGACCAAUCUGAAGAGUGAAGAUACUGCUGUGUAUUACUGUGCCA